CGAGUGGCGAACGGGUGAGUAAUGCAUCGGAACGUGCCCGGUCGUGGGGGAUAACGCAGCGAAAGCUGUGCUAAUACCGCAUACGAUCUGAGGAUGAAAGCGGGGGACCUUCGGGCCUCGCGCGAUCGGAGCGGCCGAUGUCGGAUUAGCUAGUUGGUGGGGUAAAGGCCCACCAAGGCGACGAUCCGUAGCUGGUCUGAGAGGACGACCAGCCACACUGGGACUGAGACACGGCCCAAACUCCUACGGGAGGCAGCAGUGGGGAAUAUUGCACAAUGGGGGAAACCCUGAUGCAGCGACGCCGCGUGAGUGAAGAAGUAUUUCGGUAUGUAAAGCUCUAUCAGCAGGGAAGAAAAUGACGGUACCUGACUAAGAAGCCCCGGCUAACUACGUGCCAGCAGCCGCGGUAAUACGUAGGGGGCAAGCGUUAUCCGGAUUUACUGGGUGUAAAGGGAGCGUAGGUGGUUCGGUAAGUCAGAUGUGAAAGCCCGGGGCUCAACCCCGGGACUGCAUUUGAAACUAUCGGACUUGAGUGCAGGAGAGGUAAGUGGAAUUCCUAGUGUAGCGGUGAAAUGCGUAGAUAUUAGGAGGAACACCAGUGGCGAAGGCGGCUUACUGGACUGUAACUGACACUGAGGCUCGAAAGCGUGGGGAGCAAACAGGA
rnacentral:rRNA from 1 species